AGGGUGUUGGUCGUUGCAUUUGGAAGGAAUGGAAAACUUGAGAAAUGAUGAAUUGUUUGGGAAUUGGGAUCUUUAGUGCAACCAAACGCGCUUCCAUAUUCAAUCCUUCUCCUCUCCUUUUUGUCAUCUGAAUCUCAGUAGAAGCUGACCAAACAAAUCACGCAUAGAAUUUUUCAAUUUCGUUGAGAUAGAUGUUAUUAGAAUUUGGUGAUACAGAGGAAGAUAGACAAACAGAAUGGCAGGAAAAGAUGAGGGUGAAUACAGCGAUGAAAAUCUUCUAUUGGCAUUGAGAGAUGUCGACGAUGGCGGCGAGGACUUGGAAGGGCAAGCCAUUACCAGUACGAGUGGUAGUAGUCAUGGAGGAGGAGGAGGAGGAGGAGGCGGAGCUAUUAAAGAUCUCUUCCUCAAACAUUUGGAUCGAGGGUUUUCCGGUCGCCGUCUGUCCAGUUUCAAGCGUAUUGAUAAAGAGAAUGGUAGAGAGAGUAAUAGAGACUAUUCUCAUAAUCAUAAUCGUGAGGGUGGACAUCAUCAAUAUCAGCAUCACCAUGAUUAUCACGAUAAUGAUGCUAAUGAUGAUGUUCUUGGAGAUAGCGCACCUCCAGAAUGGGUGUUACUUCUCAUUGGUUGUCUGCUUGGUCUCGCCUCUGGUCUCUGUGUAGCUGCUUUUAAUAAAGGGGUUCAUGUGAUACAUGAAUGGGCCUGGGCUGGGACUCCUAAUGAGGGUGCUGCAUGGUUUCGUCUACAGAGGUUGGCUGACACUUGGCAUCGGAUUCUUUUGAUACCAGUAACAGGUGGAGUAAUUGUUGGAAUGAUGCAUGGCUUAGUGGAAAUAUUAAACCAAAUAAGGCAGAGCAGUCCUUCCCAAAGACAAGGUCUUGAUUUGGUUGCGGGAGUCUUCCCCACAAUAAAGGCCAUUCAGGCUGCUGUUACUCUGGGUACUGGUUGUUCUUUGGGUCCUGAAGGUCCUAGUGUAGAUAUUGGAACAUCAUGUGCCAAUGGAUUGUUAUUGAUGAUGGAAAACAACAGAGAGAGGGAGAUUGCUCUUGUUGCAGCUGGUGCAGCGGCUGGGAUUGCCUCAGGUUUUAAUGCAGCUGUUGCUGGUUGUUUCUUUGCCAUCGAAACUGUGUUAAGGCCUCGCCGUGCAGAAAAUUCGCCUCCAUUUACAACUGCAAUGAUAAUAUUGGCUUCUGUUAUAUCAUCAACAGUUUCAAAUGUUUUACUUGGUACACAAUCAGCUUUUACAGUGCCACCAUAUGAUUUGAAAUCUGCUGCUGAAUUACCUUUGUACCUGAUCUUGGGCAUGCUAUGUGGUGUUGUAAGUGUGGCCUUUACUCGCUUGGUCUCUUGGUUCACCAAGUUAUUUGACUUUAUCAAGGAAAAAUUUGCCCUUCCGGCUAUAGUUUGUCCUGCUUUAGGUGGUUUAGGUGCUGGGAUAAUUGCACUCAGGUAUCCUGGGAUACUAUACUGGGGUUUCACAAAUGUUGAAGAAAUUUUACAUACUGGAAAAAGUGCUUCAGCUCCAGGAAUCUGGUUGUUAACCCAACUAGCAGUAGCCAAAGUUGUGGCUACAGCACUAUGCAAAGGUUCAGGACUUGUAGGUGGUCUCUAUGCACCAAGUUUGAUGAUUGGUGCUGCUGUGGGUGCUGUAUUUGGGGGUUCAGCUGCAGAAGUUAUCAAUUCAGCCAUUCCUGGAAAUGCAGCAGUUGCUCAGCCACAGGCAUACGCGUUGGUUGGAAUGGCUGCUACAUUAGCUUCAGUUUGUUCAGUGCCAUUGACUUCAGUUCUACUUCUGUUUGAGUUGACAAAGGACUACAUGAUAAUCCUCCCCCUCAUGGGAGCUGUUGGAUUAGCGAUAUGGGUUCCUUCUGUGACCAAUCAGGCGAAGGAGACUGAAGCAUCUGAUACGCGUGGUUUGAAAAGGGGAUAUUCUUCUCUUUCAAAUACUGAAGACAAAAAUGAAGUCUGGAGAAGAAUUGAUGGUGGAGAUGAUCUAGAACUUUCUGUAAUAGAUAAUGCUCAUGAUCAGGAAGCAAUAAAUGAAGAUUCAGUUUUGGAAGAUCUGAAGGUUUCUAGGGCCAUGUCAAAGAACUAUAUAAAGGUCUCAGUAGCCUCAACGAUAGAAGAAGCUGUAGAUUGUAUGCAUAACAGCAAGCAGAAGUGUGUACUUGUGGUUGAUGGUGAAGAUUUACUGGAGGGAAUACUAACUUAUGGUGACAUUAGACGGCUGUCUAAUAAGUCUGAUGAUGCUUCUGCAGUUGAUUCGACAAUAACAGAUUGCAGGCAAGUACCUGUCUUGUUUCAUCUGUAUGUACCCGGGGGAUAAGCUACAGAGGUCAAGGUCGUGGACUUUUGACAUGCUAUCCAGAAACUGAUUUGGCUAUUGCAAAGGAGCUAAUGGAGGCCAAAGGGAUCAAGCAGUUACCUGUUGUUAAGCGUUACAGAGGCUCCUGGAAAGAAAGGAAGCGAAGAAUUGUUGCUCUUCUUCAUUACGAUUCAAUUCAGAAUUGUCUCAGAGAGGAGCUGGCUCGACGGAAGUCCAUCUUUCAGCACAGAAAAGAAAAUCGUCUUGAUAAGAUGAUUGAAAGCAGCCAUUAAUUUGUUGAUGUAAGUUCUCGUCAAAUUUCAAGUUCCUUUGGACCAGCCCUGUAAAGGACAGGUUGAAAGAGAAAUGAUUAUCAAAUCAGUCAUCUUCAUCUUGGAAUUAGUUCGUCAUAGUUCUUGAAUGACAGUUAAUUUAGAUGCACAAUCGCCUUCGCCGGACGAGCAAAGGCUUGGAAUUUUCCAAAUUCUUGGGUGAAUUAAUGUAGGAAUGAAAUGUCCAAAUCAAUGUCUAGAAGUGAACUGGUUACUCAUAAUUGUUGUAUCCAAUUAUCGUUGAUGGGAAAACCUUGUCAUAGUGAAUUUGUCAAGCUUAUGGGUCGGGUCAUUCAUGGAUCUCAAUCUAAGCCUGAUUUAUUUGAUGUAAUUGGGUAAAGGUGAACUAGUAAGUAUAUCACAGUUGCGAUUCUAAAAA